rnacentral:sRNA from 1 species
GCCACUAGUAACCGUUGCUUUGGUGUCC